UACGGAGGGUGCAAGCGUUAAUCGGAUUUACUGGGCGUAAAGCGUUCGUAGGUGGUUUGUUAAGUUGGAUGUGAAAGCCCAGGGCUCAACCUUGGAAUUGCAUCCAAAACUGGCAGACUAGAGUAUGUGAGAGGGGGGUAGAAUUUCUGGUGUAGCGGUGAAAUGCGUAGAGAUCAGAAAGAAUACCGAUGGCGAAGGCAGCCCCCUGGUGCAAUACUGACACUGAGGAACGAAAGCGUGGGGAGCAAACAGG
rnacentral:rRNA from 1 species